UGCCAGCCGCCGCGGUAAUACGGAGGGUGCAAGCGUUGUUCGGAAUCAUUGGGCGUAAAGCGCGUGUAGGCGGCCAAGUAAGUCUGAUGUGAAAGCCCGGGGCUUAACCCCGGAAGUGCAUUGGAUACUGCUUGGCUAGAGGGCGAGAGGGGGAAGCGGAAUUCCUGGUGUAGGGGUGAAAUCCGUAGAUAUCAGGAGGAACAUCAGAGGCGAAGGCGGCUUCCUGGCUCGCUACUGACGCUGAGACGCGAAAGCGUGGGGAGCAAACAGGAUUAGAUA
rnacentral:rRNA from 1 species